rnacentral:rRNA from 1 species
UACGUAGGCAGCGAGCGUUGUUCGGAGUUACUGGGCGUAAAGGGUGUGUAGGCGGCCUCUUAAGUUUGGUGUGAAAUCUCCCGGCUCAACCGGGAGGGUGCGCCGAAUACUGAGGGGCUCGAGUGCGGGAGAGGAAAGUGGAAUUCCUGGUGUAGCGGUGAAAUGCGUAGAUAUCAGGAGGAACACCGGUGGUGUAGACGGCUUUCUGGACCGUAACUGACGCUGAGACACGAAAGCGUGGGUAGCAAACAGG